rnacentral:rRNA from 1 species
CCUACGGGUGGCUGCAGUAGGGAAUAUUGGACAAUGGGCGCAAGCCUGAUCCAGCCAUCCCGCGUGAAGGAUUAAGGCCCUCUGGGUUGUAAACUUCUUUUCUUUGGGAAUAAAAACUCCGAUUCAUCGGAGCUUGAAGGUACCAGAGGAAUAAGCACCGGCUAACUCCGUGCCAGCAGCCGCGGUAAUACGGAGGGUGCAGGCGUUAUCCGGAUUCCCUGGGGCGUAGGGGGCUUUGGAUGGCUUUGGUGAAAGCCCGGAGCUCAACUCCGGAACGGCCAUUGAUACUGCUUAGCUUGAAUCAGGUCGAGGUGGAUGGAAUAUUACAUGUAGCGGUGAAAUGCUUAGAUAUGUAAUAGAACACCGAUUGCGAAGGCAGUUCACUAGGCCUGUAUUGACACUGAGGCACGAAAGCGUGGGGAUCAAACAGGAUUAGAUACCCUGGUAGUC